GAUGAACGCUGGCGGCGUGCCUAAUACAUGCAAGUCGAGCGAACGGACGAGAAGCUUGCUUCUCUGAUGUUAGCGGCGGACGGGUGAGUAACACGUGGAUAACCUACCUAUAAGACUGGGAUAACUUCGGGAAACCGGAGCUAAUACCGGAUAAUAUUUUGAACCGCAUGGUUCAAAAGUGAAAGACGGUCUUGCUGUCACUUAUAGAUGGAUCCGCGCUGCAUUAGCUAGUUGGUAAGGUAACGGCUUACCAAGGCAACGAUGCAUAGCCGACCUGAGAGGGUGAUCGGCCACACUGGAACUGAGACACGGUCCAGAGUCCUACGGGAGGCAGCAGUAGGGAAUCUUCCGCAAUGGGCGAAAGCCUGACGGAGCAACGCCGCGUGAGUGAUGAAGGUCUUCGGAUCGUAAAACUCUGUUAUUAGGGAAGAACAUAUGUGUAAGUAACUGUGCACAUCUUGACGGUACCUAAUCAGAAAGCCACGGCUAACUACGUG
rnacentral:rRNA from 1 species